UGAUAGUAUGCCAAAACAGUACUAACACUUUGCGCCUUCUGUGCACUUCUCGCUUUCAGUUCGCUAGAAAAUUACUCCAUCAUCGAAGAAACUCAACUCUGAAAGGGUGAGUGAUACCUGAUAUUCUGCUUGCUGCUCCAGAGUAAACUGUCAUGAAGUAAAAUUAGAGGAGCCAACAAGCGUGGUUUGAAAUUGUCAUCACUUAACCGGAAAUUAACAAAUUCAGUUGACGCCUCCAUCUUUCAGGAUGCUUCAGCCACAAAUUGUUUUCCUAUUAGUGAUGUCAUUUGGGGUACAAUGCUUAG